rnacentral:lncRNA from 1 species
UAUAAGAUUACCAAGUAGAAUGCAACUUGAAGUGGCCAAGAAGUUAGAUUUUUUAGAGUAAGAAUUCAAUUGUAAGGAUCAUUACUUCUUCUUCUAGUAAAAUUCUUGUUAAAGGUCAUUUUUUAGUAAUUAGAGGAUUUAAUCACCUCUUCCACCCCUUAUACUAUUUCUUUUUGUUUUAUAAAAUUCUAGUAGAAGGUCUUUCUCUAAUGAUAAGAAGAAUUAAUCACAUCUUCCAUUCCUAAAAUCACUUCUAUUUAUAAGAGUAGUAUAGGAGGAGCUAAUAAGGUCCUAGAAAGAAUUCUUCAUCAAUGUAGAAUAGACAUUAGUUCAUUUCUAUAAGAUAUUGGUAAAAUAGACUAAUAGUCCAUAGAAUAGUCAGUUCAUGAGGUCGGAUGGUUAACUUAGUUAUUAAAAGUGGUUAAUUACAGGAUUACGAUUAGAAUCUAAGAAUAGGAAGUAAGUAUAUAGGAGUUGGAGAAGUUAGUAUGAAUGCCAGACUAUGAUAGUCAUUAGCCAGGGUCAGCUUGAUGUUACCUCUUUGUCUCUUUGUUUCUUUGUUGUUGAAAAAUAAUGGAUAGUUUUUGAAUACUCAGAAGUAAGUCUAUGGAAUAAAUCAGAAAUUGAUUUAUGAGUUAUUGAUUAUGUAAUUGGAGCAUUGAAUGAUUGAAUUAUAUAAGGAGUUAUUGAAAGAUUAUGAUUGUUGUUUAUUGAGAGUUGUGUGUGUUUCGACAUAGAAAGUCUGUGAUUACAGAAAUUAUGUGAAUUCAGAUUGGUUAGAGUGAAGUCUGUUAUUUCUGGUGUUAAAUGAAAUUAUUGUAUUUUGAGCGGUCUUUUGAGAGUGCAAGGUUGCACACUAUUGUUAUUAGUUGAUGAAGGAGUAUUGUUAUUGGGGGAAAGUAUUAUAGUAUUUUUUAGUGUUUUAGUGAUUUGGAAUAUGGUUAAUUGUGUGACCCUA